GAUAAGUUUUAUCCUUGCUCUCUAAUCUUUAUUAUUUUAUAUUAUAUACUAACUUUGAACCCUAAAUGGUGGUUAAAUUUGUAGUAAUUUUUAUUACUUUUCAAGGGAUCUUGGAUGUAGUAAUUUUUUAAUUUUUGGCUUAUAUCGUGCCAGCAGCCGCGGUUAUACGAUAGUAGAAAAAGAUUAUUUUUGGUUAAUAGUAAAAUUAUUAUAUUUAUUAUUAUUUUAAUUUUUUAGGUGAAAUUUAUAUUUAAAUAUAAUAUACUGGUUUUGAUUCUAUGAAAUUUAUAAUAAAAACAAGGAUUAGAUACCCUUUUAUAUUAAACGUUAAUUUUGUAAUACCUGGGUAUUAUUAGUUAAGUUCUUGAAACCCAAAGGAUUUGGCGGUAUUUUAAUCCUUUUAGAGGAACCUGUCCCUUAAUCGAUAAUCCACGAUUUAAUGUACUUAUUUUAGUAUUCAGUUUGUAUACCUCCGUUAUAAGAAUAUCUUUUUAGAGCUAAUUUUCUUUAAUAUUUAAUAUAUUUAUGUCAGGUCAAGGUGCAGCUUAUAAAUAAGGGGAGAUGGGUUACAAUGAUAUAUAAUUAUACGGACUUAUUAUUUAAAAUAAUAAUUAAGGUGGAUUUAAAAGUAAAAUUGUUUUUUAAAUUUUUUGAUUUAUGGCUCUAAAAUAUGUACACAUCGCCCGUCGCUCUCAUAUUAAAGUGAGAUAAGUCGUAACAUAGUAGAAGUAUCGGAAGAUGUUUCUAGUAAGUA
rnacentral:ncRNA from 1 species